CUGUGCCAAGCAUGAUCUUACAAAAAGGUGAAAGGCUAAAAUCCUUGAGAAAUAUUUUUAGCAAUAAGAGAAAAGAAAUCUAUCAUUAGAAGAAGAAUUUUCAUAAGGGAGCUAGCACCCAAUGAGAUCAGACAUCCUUGAUUAGAUUAGAGCUUUGUAUGGAUAUCUGUAGAGGUUAGAUACUUGUACGCUUUAAAAAGACUAUAAAGACAUCCAUGAUCAUCAG
rnacentral:lncRNA from 1 species